CUGAACGCUAAGAACAACAGAACGUAAGACUGACAGUUGACUUAUCAUAAUGAUAUCCUUCUUUCCCAUUGAAAAAAUGUAGUUGAUGAGAAGUGUCUGCUUCCAUUGCCCGUGAAUCCCUAACAGAAUGGUGCCAGGCUCCACCAGGAGACCUUCCUGAGUCCCAUCUGAAAGCCUCCACCUGAAUGCGUCCCUCAUUUUAAUGACCCAGCCAGGCUACCUCUGAAGAGAAGGGCAGUUCUCAGCAGCCUGAGGGGUGCUGGUAGAGACAUACCAAAAGUGUUGUUGGUGCCACCUUUUUGCAAGAGAUGAAGAGAAAGUUCC
rnacentral:lncRNA from 1 species